GCCCGUGUCGUCUACUGGUUAAGGCGCUGCUCUGAUACGGCAGAAAAGAUAGUUCAAUUCUAUCCAUGGGUACCA
rnacentral:tRNA from 2 species